GUACACACCGCCCGUCGCUGCCCGGGACUGAGCCAUUUCGAGAAAUUUGGGGACCGUUGAUUUAAUUUAUCUAAAUUAUUUUGAUGGAAACCAAUUUAAUCGCAGUGGCUUGAACCGGGCAAAAGUCGUAACAAGGUAGCUGUAGGUGAACCUGCUGCUGGAUCAUUACUUUAUGUGAUGUUCAAUUUUGAAUCGCAAUGAAAUAAUUGUUGUGUAACGGCUGUCGCUGGUGUCUAGGUGUUGCUGAUACAGUUGUGAACGUCCGUGGCUGUAUAUGUGGUGACAUGUUAGGACUAUAAUGAGUUUAAGACUUAAUGAGCCUCUUAAGUGAGGACGCCAGCACUCUUUUUUUAUAUUUAAAAAAAAACAAAAUUCCUAGCCUUUCCGGUGGAUCACUAGGCUCGUGGAUCGAUGAAGAACGCAGCAAACUGCGAUAAGUUUUGCGAACUGCAGCAGCCUUGAGCAUAAAAGUUUUGAACGCAUAUUGCCGCAUAGGGGUCAAACCCUUUGCUAUGUCUGGUUCAGGGUCAUUAUCUUUCAAAGCGAAAGCUUUAUUGUAUAAUUGCUUUUGUGGCUUCUUUAUGUUUUAAAUUGAUUGUUAGAUAUGUUUAAUUGUUCGCAUGUAUCAUCAACAAUAUUGAUUUUUUGACCUGAACUCAGUCGAGAGCACCCGCUGAACUUAAGCAUAUCAGUAAGCGGAGGAAAAGAAACUAAACAGGAUUC
rnacentral:rRNA from 1 species